CUGGGGUCAAGUCUGCGGGACUUCAGCAAGUGUGGGAUUGUGUCUUCGGGACUUCAGCAGUGUGAGGUACUUCGUGUUUAAAGGAAAGGAGUCGGCUUGAUCGCAGCGCAUCACACUAUGGUUUUCCGCACAUGAGAUCUUUGGGAUUACACUCUGAUAUUGUUUUAUGAUAACAUGUUUGAUUAUUUCUACUUUGGUUUUGAUAUGACAUGAUAUUACAAAUGUUUUAUUACACUGUUGGUUUUAUAAUGACGUAUUUAAAAAUGAAAA